rnacentral:lncRNA from 1 species
CGGGUACUGAAGCGGACGUCCGCACUUCGCUAAAGUGCGGACGUCAACACAGUAGGCGGGUUCCAGGCGACGCGACGCAGCAGGCGGGUUCCAGGCGACGGCGGCGGAGUGGGGCUGGCUGGAGGGAGGCCGGAGGCGUCCUAGACCUCUUUUGGGCGGCGUUCGAGGUCGGAGGAGGUCGGGCUUGCCGGUUUCUAGGCAGCCACCUCACCUGCAGUUGCAGGUUCUGUGCAGCACCGCAUAAUCGUCGCCGGCGACUCCACCGCACUGCAUACCCCUCCGCACGACCCCCGGCGUCCCUCCGGCAAGCCGCACCGCGCCGUCGCCGCUCGAUCGAGGCCAGAGGAGCGACGUCCG